rnacentral:rRNA from 1 species
AACGAACGCUGGCGGCAGGCUUAACACAUGCAAGUCGAGCGCCCCGCAAGGGGAGCGGCAGACGGGUGAGUAACGCGUGGGAACGUACCCUUUGCUACGGAAUAGCUCCGGGAAACUGGAAUUAAUACCGUAUGUGCCCUACGGGGGAAAGAUUUAUCGGCAAAGGAUCGGCCCGCGUUGGAUCAGCUAGUUGGUGGGGUAAUGGCCUACCAAGGCGACGAUCCAUAGCUGGUCUGAGAGGAUGAUCAGCCACAUUGGGACUGAGACACGGCCCAAACUCCUACGGGAGGCAGCAGUGGGGAACAUUGGACAAUGGGCGCAAGCCUGAUCCAGCAAUGCCGCGUGAGUGAUGAAGGCCUUCGGGUCGUAAAGCUCUUUUACCCGGGAUGAUAAUGACAGUACCGGGAGAAUAAGCUCCGGCUAACUCCGUGCCAGCCGCCGCCGUAAUAC